AUAUCUUAUCUAUACUAUUAUGCUUUUCUUACAGUCUAUAGCCAUUCCCUCUUCUUUUGGUCGCCAUGCGACAAUUUACUAUGCGACGGCCCUCUUUGGCAAACAUUUUGAAUAUUUUAUUGAUAUUUGGAUUCGUCUUUAAUUCAAACAUAUUUGACUCUUAUAAGACUUUGAAAACUUGUCUUUAAGCUGAAUUUACACAGAAUUCACACAAGAUGCAAAGUUUACCAUGACAAACGGCCUGUUCAUAUUAGCCUGAUUACCGAAACAUCUCGGCUGGUGGGACAAAUCAUAUCGACGCUCAGAUUUUGGCUACCGAGAUAAAAUUCACACAAAGUUACUAUAAAAACUGCUUCAAAUGAUUCUC